UCAGAAGAAGAGAACGUAAUAGAACAAGAGGCACCUCCUCAUCCAGCCGGCAUCAAACUGCAGCGUCCCGGAUACUAUACAAUACCGUCUCUAGAAGACUUGAAAGAUUACAUACGUCCAGAUGGCUCUUGCGUUGUUCCCAAUUUUACCAUCGGACGUAAAAACUAUGGGAAAGUGUUCUACGAUUGUGAAAUGGACGUUGCUAAUCUUGAUUUGGAUACGUUGGUACACUUUUUAAACAAGGAAGUGAUCAUAUACCCGGAGGAUGCAGACAAGCCGCCAAUUGGUCAGGCUUUGAAUCGCAAAGCUGUCGUCACUUUGGACCGCGUGUGACCGCGCGACAAGACACAGAGACGACUUAUUGUUGAUCCUGACAGGCUCAUGAAAAUGGACUACGAAGGUAAAUUGAGACGAGUCUGUGUCUGAAACACGAGACGAAAUUCAUAGAGUAUAGACCACAGACUGGAAGUUGGGUGUUCCAAGUGGAACACUUCAGUAAGUACGGUCUGACAGACUCUGAUGAGGAAGACGAACCCACUCCGGAUGUUUUGAAGCGACAGUUGGUGAAUCAAACGCUGCAGAAGACGGCUGCUCCAGGUAUUCGGUCUAGAUAAAAAUUGCACCUAUCCAUAUUUGAGGACAGUAAAAACUGAACCGAAGACAGGUCGAGAUGGUAUGGUACGUAUUGAAGAUGAGAUAAAAGAUGUAUUCUACGAAGCAGAUUAUAUACAUUGGGAUUCAGAUACAAGCAGUGACGGUGAAGAUGAACCAUACAUUAAGAAAAGGAAAGUUCCAAACCUUUCCACGCUCAGUUUGAAGACAAUAUUCUCACCUAGGUACUUAGGCAGAGUACGUAGGAAGAGAAGAAAGGUUAAAACUGAAAUAAUACCAGAAAAUCUAACACAAAAUAAAGAUAUGUUUGAUGUUGUAGACAGUUUUGAUGAUGUACAUGACUUGGAACGGUUAAAUGAUUGCAGUUUUGAUCAACUGUUUGGUAGUGCUUUACAGAAAAUAGUCCCAGAUGUAGAAGAUAAUCCAAUGGAAGAAGGUAGCGAUCAUAAAGAAGAUAGUAAUGGUGACAUUGUUAGUAAAGAAGGAAACAGUGAUAAAGAU